CCAAACUUGAGACACGGAGGCGAGGAGGACCACGUCGGCAACCACCACAGAGAAUCAGCCUCAGCCUGUGCCGCCAAACACCCUUCGAGCUCCACCACGACCCGAGCAGCCAGAAAACGCGACCACCAUGAACCGGCAAAAACAGAUCAAGAAAAUCUGCAGCGGAGCACCACUGAGAAUCCCGAUCUGAGAACACAAACCCGCCGUUAAGGAGAAGAGCAAACCUAACCAGCCACCUCAACAAAGCCAAAACCCUUGCCGGAGAAGAGGACUGUUGCGUGAAAGAGAUCCGACCAAAAGGAGCUGUCGGAAACAAGCCGGUUACAAAGCCGUCCCCAAGCAAAGAACCUAGACGAAUCCGACCAGCAAGCCGAGAGCCUCCAAGCGACACGCAACAGCUUCUAUCCGACAACCACCACCAGGAGACGCCGGAAAAGGCGGAGAAUCGCAUCCAAAAUCAGCCAAACCCGACGGAAAGCAGAGACGAAGGAGGGAGAAAAGGAAUCUGUGAGCUUUCAAUUACGAAAUAGAUAUUGUGACCAUUUGCUCUCCAAAACCCAGAAACCGACUUAGAGAAAAUCCUCAAUUAAAAAGAUGAUGACGGAACCGAUCGUCGAUGAAGCAGGCGAAGCCAAAUCCUAAAGGAAUCGAAGCAUAACAUAUUCACAUCACAAGUCCAAAAAAUCUUCACCAAGUUAUCAUCUCCUGCCACACGAUGGGAGUGUCUCUUAAACCUUUAAAGUUUUCAUAUACUCUCAAUACAGUGCUAUAUGUUUAUUUAGGGUGCUUCUGUGAAUGCAGCAAAAUCUCUAUAGAGAUUUUUCUUUUACUUGGACUAAUGGCCUUCUGUGUGACUAGUUGAUAGGGCUGAAUAUAAGAUGCAUUGACUGGUUGUACUAAAAAUUUUGAUGUUUGGCUUUUCCAAUUACUAACCGAAAUUUCAAUUUUGACUUUUUUUAGGAGUUGCAAACAUUAUGGGAGAAAGAGGAGUCCAAGAAAAUUUCCUCCGUUUUUCAUUUUGAUGGUCCUCAGGUUCUCUGUUGACUUGAUGUUGUUGGAGGAUACUCUUGUUACAUGAACUCUCUCUUGUAUGCUCAUGUGAUCCGCAGCUGAGGAGGAUAAGUCAUCUAACUUUCUGAGCCUAAUCUUGAGUAUUGAAUACCCGUAUUGAAACUAAGGCAUAGUGAUCCGUUGCUCGUUUCCAUUCAUCAUAUGAUAUGACGCCUCAUUGGUUCAUGCCCAUAUAUAGACGCUGGAGAUCACUCCGAAUAGAAUGUAGUUUUUUUUACGAAGAGAAGCUGCAUCGCAUGGAAGGAACAUUUACUCUUUGAAGAUAUCCUCUGUCAAAUAUUCGACAUGAUUAAACCAGUGGCAAGAGUUCAAUCAUAACAUGACGGAGAACUGCAUAUCAUUCCAGGAUCUGAAAGCAUCUAAACUUUCUGGAUAUGUUCUCAAUAUACUCUUCAACCUGAACAAAUUCAUGGCGUCUCAAACUCAUGACCCUUUUUGCAUACACCAGGUAAGUCUAGCUUUUCUAUAGAGUUUCCCUCCCUUUGGUUAUUCAAUACUUGGUUUAAUAGCUGUUGAAACUUAUUACUACUGUAUAUUUAUUUGGUUGCAACAUGAGCUGAAAUUCAUUUGACCAGGAAGAAGUACUUACAUGGGUGGUCACUUGGUUAACGCAUUCAAAUAAGUUCCUUUUGAACCCUUUUUCUGAAUUAGUUUGUGUUCCUUUCACCUUUAUCACAUCUCUGCAAUUGUUCAUUAUUGUUUCUUUUUAACAGGUUUUCUAAAUACCUGAUUGAUCAAUAUAUACUUCUUUAUAAUGUGUGCCUUGGAGUUGCCCGAAUUAAUAUCCUUUUGUAAUGUUUCAUUUUCUGAGUAUACCUGAUUGAUCAAUACUUCUUAAUUGGCUUUUAUUUUCUCAUUUUCUCACAACCAUUUUUAGUCGGGUGUGUAAGUGGUUUCGCCACUUCUUUCUUAAGGAUUAUGUCAAUGAUUUUGUUAGCAGGCUCUGUUUUUUUUUUCUCCAAGUUUAGGAGGAUCAAGAAACAGCAGUUCGUCUAGCGAACACAAUGAAAAAUUCGUUGAAGGGAAGACCAGUGCCGAUACCUUUUUUGUUAUUGUAAGUAAUAGCCACUAGCACUGAAAGAUUGUUGAAUAACUUGAUCUUCUUGCAGGCUCCUAUAUUUGAGGGUAAAGAACCUCCACAAUUUGUUGCACUUUCCAACCUAUGGUUGUCCUUAAGGGUGGUUUGAGUUCUGGUUACAAAAGUACUGUAGAAUGACAAAGAAGGGUUCAUCAGACGGAAUCAGUUGCACUUAUUCAAUAUCUGGAACUGGAGUUCACAAUAAUAAGGCACUACAAGUUGAAGCGCUCAUGAUUACUGUCAAGCACGCAAAAGAGGGAACAUAGAGCUCAUCCUUUUGGUUUGCACUUGGGGGAAAACAGAACUUCACCAACAAGAAGGUUUCCUCCAAGACUGUCAGGGAUUCUCACUUGUUCUCCUUUUCCUCCAACAGCGGUAAUUGAAAUUAGGCAAUCAAUUAUGAGAGUCAAAGCAUCUCUCUUAGGGUCAUAUUUUCUUUUGAUAAACUUGCAUAUUAUAACUUUGUGUUCUUCUUUUCAAUGUGUAUACAUGGAUCCUAGAGAAAAUCUCAGGUGAGAAUUUAGGAAAAAUAUAUAUCCAACGUUUUCUUAUCAGUUAUCAAGAUGUGUGCAUGCUUUAACAUUAUCCUUCAUGAUGUGACUUGGAGGGUAGCAAGCUGGCCCUAUAAAUAUCUUGUUUAUGUUGAUUACGCAUUUUUGUUAUUAUACACUGUCAUGGAUGGAGGAGAUUGAAGUUUUUGGUUUCUAAUUGGAAGCCACUUGCCUCUUCAAUUAAUAGUUUUUUAUUCAUGGUUUCUGGUAUCAUAAUUUAUUUCUUAUGUUACUGAGAGUAUUUUCUGUUUGUUUUAGAUCGUAGAGGAGUCAAGAGGGUUUCCCAUUCAUUUCACUUUUUCUUAAGCAACACGUGAAGCUCUUUUGUUGGCAUUUACAUGAUUGCUCAUUUUAUCUUUGCGUAACUUCAAUUUUCUUUUAAGAGAGAAGCAUUGUGAGGAGAAGGAGUCAAAGAUAUUGCGUUUGACCAAUCAUAAUUCCUUAUGUGCGUUAUUUAUUUUCUAAUAUUUGGUUCUUGAUAGUUGAUUUCAUUAGGUAAGUUGGUUAAUUUUUCAUUUGUUUCUCAGUCUAUGUUUACCACUGUCUUUCUUGGGGUUAUAGUGCAUAGACAUGCUCGAAGUUGUUACAUUUUUUGGUGCCAUAGAACCAGAGUAGAGGUUUGUUUUGAUAGAGUUAUGUGCUUUUACGGGGAAGAAGAUGUGGAAGAUUACUGAGAGCAAGUCUGGAUUAGAAGAAGCUGAUGUCUUGAUUUGGAAAGUGGAUCUCGAGGCUAGAAGUUUGCAGCUGAGUGCUAAAGCUUUGUAUCUUUCUAAACUAAAAGAGUGUACAUCUAAUUGAACCAAUUGAAGAAGGAAUUGAAACGAUUUUUGUCCUCAGAUACUAAGCAGUCUCGUCUGUGGCGAAUUGAUGAAAUAUGGAAUUGCGGAUCUGCAUGUAUCUGCUGAUCAAAGAGGAAGAUUGGCAAUGUCAGUGAAGAGGCUUGACCAAUCAAGAAAUAGAGUCAGGGAGAGUAGAAGACCUGAGUCAGCAACGCCAAACACUUCAUGUGCACACAAAGAUACAGGGGAUAUCACGUUUUGGGCUCUUUCUUUUAAUGGUCCUCACCUAUAUUACUUACUUGAUUUAGGUUGUAGAGCUUCUCAAAACGAGAAACGCUUCUACUCAUUUUAAAUCGCAUAUGUGGAUUUCUUCGGUCGAUGCAGUGGUUUGUAUUGUUUGGUGGCUGCUUGAGCGUUGAUUGGAAUCUUGCGGCUAUUUAUGGUUUCAGGGUUUUUGUUCGUUUCCUAAUUUUGUAUACCUACUUUACUUUAUUUUUGGAUGUCAUUGGAUGAUCUCGUUAUUGACUGUUUUUUUCAAAAUAUUAUGACAGCAUUUGACAACCCCAUGUCAUCAAUCUCAUAUUGAGUCAGGUAUAUUUCAGGUGUAUCCAAUCUCAUUUUGAAAGCAUUUGUUCUCUUUCUAUUAAUGGUCCUUAGGUUUCGUCAGACCACCUUGGUCCCUUGAACAAAUUCAUAUACAUUCCUUAACCCUUUCAACGUGGAUAUGUCUAUCGAAGCGGUUUUUUUGGGUCAAACGUCUCAAACUUUGCUUUGUACCUUUUCUGGUUAUUUAUUGUCUGGCAUUCGUGUUCAUUGUUGUUUGUUCUACCGAUUAUAUAUAUGUAUAUGAUCAACACUUCUUCAGUUGUGCCUUGGAGGAUGGCAAGGUGGCCCAAUAAAUAUCCUUUUUACACCGGGAAGUCCUUAUGAUGCAUUUUUUGCUGCUUCUGCGAUAAUAUUGAUCAGUCUAAUGCUAAAUGCAGGAGACUGAAGAUUCUGGUUUCUAAUUGGUAGCCACGGGCCUCUUCAGUUGAUAGUUUUUAUUGGUGGUUUCUGUAUCAAGAUCGUAGAGCUUGUAGGAGAGUCAAGAUGGUUUGCGCUCUAUCUGGACAGCAAGGAUGCAUAGUGCUUGUAAUUCCGGUUUUCUGAUUACUUCUUAUCUAUAAACCUUUUUCUUCUAUCAGGUAUGAUUUGACUUUGUGUAUAUUUGCCAUUCAUUUCACUUUUUCUUAAGCGGUAUAUUCACAUUCACAGGAAAGUGGUAGAAAUUACAACAACUUAGACCACGUAUGUUUAUUUGAGUAAACAUGAUAACUAUCGCCGGUGGCAACCAAAAAUCCAUAAUGUUGAGUUAGGGAAGAAAUUGCUUUUAGGAUGCCAUAUCUAUAAAUCAUAUAUAAAUCAUCUAGAUCGGUAAGAACAGUCAAAUCUAGAAACCAAGAAGCAAAUAAAAGAGUUUUCUAAGCAAUAUUGUUCUAUAUUUUGAAAUGUUGGUUAAGGCUGUUUGAUUCAGCAAAAGCUCUUGCUUUCAAAAAUGUUCCGGCGCGUGAAGAGGUAAGCAUCUGUCAAUACUACUCUACCACAACUUUUUUAUUGUAAAUACACAUAACUUUCGAUGUCUUGGAGGAAAGCAAGCUGGCCCAGUAAAUAUCUUUUCAUAUUGUAAGUUUAUAAUUAUAUAAAACGUUUUUAUUUCCUUGUUUCGUUUUCCUUGUUGCCUCUAUUGGCUUUUCUAUUCUUACUUUAGAGAUUGUGCCUUUCCAAAGAUAUAAGGUUAUACCAAAGGUUCUCUUUAGUUUAAUUUUUUGUUGUGGCAAAGUUCUUAUUUUGUAACAUUGGCCUCUUUUUGAAUUGUGAUUUCCAUUAGAUUUGACUUGGCUAUUUAAUUUAUCUGUCGCUCUUUUCUAAAAGCUCUGUGUUCUUUCUUAAUUUUCAUUCUCUUGUUUCAGUUAAUAGCUAAAGAGAUAGGAUUGGUGGUUAACGUUGACUGUUUCAGAAAAGCAAGCAAAGUAAAACGAUCAAAGAGUGCACAAAGAAAUGAGGUCCAAUGUUUCGCUCUCCCUGUACUUUUUAUUUUUACGGUUAAUUGAUGCUACACUGACUUAGACGAUGGUUUAAGUUUGAAAUUACAGUAUCUAUUUACAAAUAUGCUGGCAUCAAUUUUUUCUGGCAGCAAGCUGGUAUUGGUACCUUAAUAUUGGUAUUGGUUCAACAACAUCCAACAGAUGAUCCUUUUGAAUGCGCUCUUUGCUUUAAUUGAGGCGAGAAAGUUCAAAUGGAACCCAAGGGGGUCCAAGACAAGAGGAUAAAGCUUUAUAUCUGCAUUCAAUUGUACACCAUCAUCAAAAUCACCUCCAUGAAGACCAGAAUAAACAAGUCAGGCGUCACAAAGAGCAGCAGCAGUGGCUGCCCUCUCGCAAUUCAAAGUCACCUCCAUGAAGACCAGAAGUAACAAGUUAGGCAUCACAAUGAGGAUACAGGGGAUAUCACGUUUUGGUCUCUCUUUUUUAAUGGUCCUCAGUGGUUUGUUGUGUUUGGUGGCUGCUUGAGCAGUGAUUGGACAUUGCACGUUAUCUUGUGGCUGUUUAUGGUUUCAGGGGUUUUACUUGUUUCCUAAUUUUGUAUUCAUACUUUACUUUGAUUUUUGGAUUUCAUUGGAUGAUCUGGUUAUUAACUAUACUAUUCUUAAAACAUUAUGACAGGAUUUGGCAACCCGUGGUAUCAAUCUCAUCUUGAGUGAGGUAUAUUUCAGGUGUGUACAAUUAACCCUUCUGCUGCGGGAUCAGUCUAGUAGUGGGAUGUGUUUCAUUCUCUCUUGAUUGAAAGAUUUUGCAUACUUUAUUCUCGCUGAGGAGGAUAAGUCAUCUGAGCCUAGUCUUAAAUAUUGGUUCAAGUGCAUAUAUAUACCUGGCUGGAGAAUGGAGAUUGGGUGGUGAUCACUCCCAAUGAACAUGUACUCUUUGAAGAUAUCCUAUGUCUAAUAUUCUACAUGAUUAAACCAGAGGCGAGAGUUCUUUCAAAUCAUAACAUGAAGGAGAACUGAAAGCAUCUAAACGUUUAAUGUACUCUUCAACCUGAGGAAAUUCGCCAGGUUUUCUAUGCCUGAUUGAUCAAUACUUCUGUAUGCUGUGUCAAUAUCCUUUUGAAAUGCUUCCUUCGAGCAUACCUGAUUGAUCAUUACUUCUUUAUUGGCUUUUCUUUUGUCAUUAAAAAAAAAACAAAAUAAGUGAGUUAUUAUCUUCAAGCUCUGUUAGAGGUUAGACCUGUAUGAUAAUUUUGGUUCCUAAUUGGUUGACUCUUGCGACAAUUUCCUUAUCUCUUUCUUUUGAUGGUCUUCCGGUUUCUGUUUUUAGACGUUAGAUUAAUUUUUACUUGAUUUAGAUUUUAGAUGGUUUCUCAGACUGAAAAACACUGUCAAGAAUGUACUUAUUUUUCUUUUUCUUCUGGUUACACCUUUUUCUUACAUAGUAGUUCAUUAUUUCAAUCAAAUAUAAUUUGUCCUCGUGUAUGGUUGUGUGCUUUUCAGAUUUUCUUCGUCACUCACAUCACUUUGAUUCUCUUGUUUCAGUUGAUGGCUGAAAAGAUAGGAUUGAUGGUUAAAGUUGACUGUUUCAGAAAAGCUGAAAGAGAAACAAACAAGUUGGUAUUGCUACAUCAAAACAGGCGUUUCAGCAACAGGUGAUUUCUUUGAAUACAUAUAGUUAUAGCCUUACUAGUUUUUCCUGUUUAUCUCAGAUGUUGAAUCACCUUGCCGGAUAUUGCUCUGCAUAUACGUCAUCUCUCUAAUGAAAUGGGAGAUCUAUCAAUGUGGGACAAAGUGACCUGCAAGGUUAACUAUGAGAGACGUAAACUAAUCGCUAAUAAUCAUACAUGCGCAUAUGUUGAAUAUUUCCCUGAAGUUGGUGGCUGAAGAGAUAGGAUUGGUGGUUAAAGUUGACUGUUUCAGAAAAGCUAAAAGAGAAGCAAAGUAAAGAUCAAAGAGUGCACAAAGAAAUGAGCAAGCUGGUGUUGGUACAUUAACAUUGCUCAAAACUGCAGUUCCGCAACAGCCAACAGAUGAUCCUUUUGAAUGUGCAAGGGAAUUCCUUCCAGAAGAAGGCAUCGUUAUCAAAACCUCUGACUUGCCAUCAAAUAAUAUAUAUGGCUGGAAACUGGUUGUGCUAACUGCUUUUCAUCUUAGGCACAAAACGAAUAGAAGAAAGCAAAACAGAGACUUGAAGGAUCAAGCAAAGAUGUGGAAGACCAUUAAACUACAGAGGCACAAUUAUUGCAACUUGACUUUGACACUAUAAGAUUAGCAACUAAUGACUUCUCUCCAAACAACCAUCUUGGUGCUUGGUGAAGGUGGAUCUGGUGCAGUUUAUAAGGGUAUUCUUGAUUCUGGGGAAGAGAGCUGUGAAAAGAUUGUCAAUGAAAUCAGGACAAGGAGACAAUGAGUUCGUAAACGAAGUCUCGUGGGUUGAGAAACUUCAACAUCAUAAUCUUGUGAGGCUUUUAGGUUUUUACUUAAGAGGGAGAAGAACGACUUCAUCAUCUAUGAGUUCUUCAGGAAUAUAAACCAUUUUUGGUCAGCUCAGUUUCGAGGAAGCAUAUUUGUUCUUUGAGUACCUUUCUUGUUUCAUGGUGAUUCUUUUCCAGGAUCUAUACUGCAUCUGUGGUUUUCAUGUUUAUGUUGAUUACUAAUUUUGUGUUACUUUACACUUCCUUGUGGACGCAGGAGACUGAAGUUUCUGGUUACUUCUGCGGUAUGUUCACAUUCCCAUUGAAGUUUUUCAUUAUCUUCCUUGUUUAAGGUAUUGGUUCCCAUCGAAAUGUAGCACAUGUUUAUAGAUUGGCUGAUCUGUGUGGUUGCAGUUCUAUUCAUAAUUGUUAUAGUUACAUUAACGUUUAAGGUCGCUUGAGUUCUGGUUACAAAAAUAGAAUGACAGAGAAAAGGUUCAUCAGACGAAACCGACACGAUGGAAUCAGUUGAACUUAUUCAAGUAUCUGGAACUGGAGUUCACAAUAAUAAAGCACUACAAGUUGAAGCGCCCAGGAUUACUGUCAAGCACGCACAAGAAGAUUUCUACCGAUACUGUCAGGGAUUCUCACUUGUUCUCAUUUUACUUCAACAUAGGUAAUUGAAAUUCGGACAUCAAUUAUGAGAGUCAAAGCAUCUCUAAUAGGGUCAUAUUUGUUUUUGAUAAAAACUUGCAUAUUAUAACUUUGUCUACUUUUUUUCAAAGUGUCUACGUGGAUCCUCAAGAAAAUCUCAGGUGAGAAUUCAGGAAAAAUAUAUAUCCAACGUUAUUGUUAGAGUCCCACAUCGGAAAGAAAUAAAAUCCUUGGGCAAUAUAUAUAGUAUGAGGCAAACCUCCUCCCUUGAGCUAGCUUUUGGGUGUUGAGUUAGGCCCAUUACUAAUAUGGUAUCAGGGCCAAGGUUCAACUUUCUUGAAAGUGGGCUACCAUCCGUGGAUGUCCAGUCCCACAAACUUCACGCUUCAGAUGUCCAGUCCUGAGCGUGAGGGGGGUGUGUUAGAGUCCCACAUCGGAAAGAAAUAAAAUCCUUGGGCAAUAUAUAUAGUAUGAGGCAAACCUCCUCCCUUGAGCUAGCUUUUGGGUGUUGAGUUAGGCCCAUUACUAAUAGUUACCAAGAUGUGUGCAUGUUUUAACAUUAUCCUUCAUGUUUUGCCUUGGAGAAUAGCAAGGUCGCCCAAUAAAUAUCCUUUUAUACCGUAUGGUUUAUGAUUAUAUCAAAUGUUCUUCUUUCUUUGUCUCGUUUUCUUUGUUGCUUUUAUGGGCUUUUCUAUUCUCACUAUCAACUAAUUCUCUUCCUUUCAAGCUUAUAAUGAUCUGUUAUUCUUCUGGAGUGUACUCAUAUGGAAUUUACGAACACCUUAAGGAUUGGCUUAUUUGAACUUGGAGAAACAAGAAUCACGUUCAAGCUCAGAAAAGAUAAGUAGUAUCGUCACUAUCAAAGAAGAAAACAGAACUUGGUAUUAAAUGGAAGAAUCGUACUGCAGAUUAAAGAAGCUUACCUCUAGGUUGUUGUACAGAAGAACCGCUAGCGGAAAACCCUGAAACUAAUGGAAGAUAAGCAAAAGCAGAAAACUGCAACAGAGCAGUACUUUGUGCAGGAAGAAGCUAAGGAUCCCUUAAGCCUAAGAAGCCCAUAUCUAAUCCUACCUAAUCUAUUUAAACGAGUGGUGAGCAUCUUUACGACAAAGAGAAGGAACUCGAGACGCUUAAGGUGGAGUACAAAAAACUGCAAAAGAUGAAGCUAUAAUUUGACACGAGACUUGGUAAUAUUACUGUGGCGGAUCACCUCCUUGUUAUUCCCAAGGAGAGGUUUGAGAAACUAGAAGGAUUCGUAAUGGAUAUUUACAAUCAGUUAGGUGUGACCAAGGAAAAAGACUGUGGAUGCUUGAUGAUCCUGAUACAAAUAUGACAUUGUGACAUUUUUAAGUUCAAUAGCCCUCAGAUCUACUCACAACUUAACUAGCUUACAUGUAGUAUGUUGUUAAUAUUCCUUUGAUAAGCUAGUUAGAAAUUACUAGAUUUUAACCCGCGGUGUACCGCGGGGUGAUUUAAUUUUAAAGUUAGUAUAAAAAUAUUUUGUAAA